rnacentral:rRNA from 1 species
CGAACGGUGAAGAGGAGCUUGCUCCUUGGAUCAGUGGCGAACGGGCGAGUAACACGUGAGCAAUCUGCCCUUGACUCUGGGAUAACUGCGGGAAACUGUAGCUAAUACCGGAUAUUACCUUGGAAGGCAUCUUCUGGGGUGGAAAGAAUUUUGGUCAAGGAUGAGCUCGCGGCCUAUCAGCUAGUUGGUGAGGUAAUGGCUCACCAAGGCGACGACGGGUAGCCGGCCUGAGAGGGUGACCGGCCACACUGGGACUGAGACACGGCCCAGACUCCUACGGGAGGCAGCAGUGGGGAAUAUUGCACAAUGGGCGCAAGCCUGAUGCAGCAACGCCGCGUGAGGGACGACGGCCUUCGGGUUGUAAACCUCUUUUAGUAGGGAAGAAGCGACUGGGUUUUCCUGGAAGUGACGGUACCUGCAGAAAAAGCACCGGCUAACUACGUGCCAGCAGCCGCGGUAAUACGUAGGGUGCAAGCGUUGUCCGGAAUUAUUGGGCGUAAAGAGCUCGUAGGCGGUUUGUCGCGUCUGCUGUGAAAACCCGAGGCUCAACCUCGGGCCUGCAGUGGGUACGGGCAGACUAGAGUGCGGUAGGGGAGAUUG